GGGCCCUCUGAGAUCAGGCACAGCCAUCAACAGUGGCUGCAUGCCUCUCAUGCUUCUGAGUUACGUUUGUCCUGCUUCUGAGAAGAUCAGCCACUUCAGAAUGAACCAAUUAAUACAAUCGCUAGGUGCCCUCCUGUAGUACCUCUGUGAGGUUUGAAGGACUUGCCCUGAUGAACCUCCACUUCCCUGUAAUUCCCUAUAAGAUCUGCAGCACAAAGCUGUGAAGGUGCUGGUCAGGGGUGGAAUGCAACUGAUGCUGUCACCAGACUCUAAUCCCAAUAUCUCCCAGAUAUUCCACAGAUACCACAUUCUAACCAGAAUAAUCUGCAUCAUCUAAAGGGUUUAUGAUAUGUGGCUGUGGGACUGGACCAAUAUGAGCCCACAGAAGCCUGCAUACUUGGAACCACUUGGUGGGAUCAAUGUCAUUAGGAGACACAACUAUAAAUGCUGUCAUUCAACCCAGCUUGAAUGAAUAACAAAGAACAUGCUCCAGGAGGAUAAAGAACAGAGCAUCUCCUUGGUUUGUGCAGGCUUCCCACUGCAGCUGCCAUGCAGCAGAAACUGAAUGAUUCCAUAAAGUCAAGAAAUAACCAUGAUGGCUCUUCGUAAGCGUAAGCUUGGGCUGCACUCACCUUUAUUUUCCUGCCUGCCUUCCUGGAGGGCAGUGAGACGCAGGCCCAGAUCCUUCACACAGGGGAGCGAGAAGAGAGGGAGGAAGAGGCUGCCCAUCAACAUUGCCACCAUGGCAGCCUCCUGCCCCUGAGAAAGUGGAAAUGCCCAGGCUUCCACAUUAAGGACUCAGAAAUUUCUAACACUUUACAAGAGGGAGGAGUGAACAGCAAGUGGUUUGGAAAUCACAAAUUUGUAGGAGCUCAGCAAGUGCUACUUAGGUCUAAGGGACACAGGGCAGGUUUGGAUUAAGAAAUGACACCAGUUUGGGGCCGGGCGCAGUGGCUCACGCCUGUAAUCCCAGCACUUUGGGAGGCCGAGGCAGGCGGAUCAUGAGGUCAGGAGAUCGAGACCAUCCUGGCUAACAUGGUGAAACCCCAUCUCUACUAAAAAUACAAAAACAAAGUUAGCCAGGCAUGGUGGCAGGCACCUGUAUUCCCAGCUACUCUCAAGACUGAGGCAGGAGAAUGGCAUGAACCGGGGAGGCAGAGGUUGCAGUGAGCCGAGAUCGCACCACUGCGCUCCAGCCUGGGCGACAGAGAAAGACUCCGUCUCAAAAAAAAAAAAAAAAGAAAGAAAGAAAUUAAAAAAAGAAAUGACACCAGUUUUGGCCAAAAAGUUCUUAAAAUGAGACUUCACAUUUUACAGAAAUAACAAUAAUAACUAAAGAAAAAAAAUCCUUUACCCUAUAGAUUAAAUCUGUUUUCUUUGCUUGUGCAACCCACUUAUUUUCAUGUGGAACCUGGACAUCUGAACUAGAAACAACAGCACCAGUCAGGGUUCAGUGGGAGACUAGUGGUACCUGUGAGAGGGAAAACUGAGCUGAGGUCAAGAAAUUGACUAUCUACAAAGAUGCGUGGGAUUAAGGGAAAUUAGUAAAGGAUGAUGAGAUGCCCAGGAACUAGCAACAGUCGGAAGCCAUUACCUAUGUUUCCUAGGUAACCUGGAAGGAGUUCCCAGAAUCUGGAAAGAAUGUAACAGCAGGGGAGCAUUGUUCAACAGGGGCUGUGCCUUCGGUAGAAGAAUGGAGCCACAGCCCCCCAUAGCCCACAGGAAGCUGGGGGGAGAAAGUCCCAACCUCACUCUCCUCCCGCCUCCAGUCUCCUCCCUUGGCCAAACCCAACAGAGGUCAGAGAUCAAAGGAGCCUAUUGAUGCAGAUCCUCAACCUUCUGGAGCACAGAGGAUGGUGGAGAGGGAGGAAAGGGGAUCUAAAGGGACAAGUGUAGAAUAUCCAGUGCAACAGCUUUUGAUUAGAAAAGAAAGUCAUAUUCCUUUGCUUAAUAUCCAAAUCACAGCAACUCUGAGCCCCUACCUCCCACAAAUUAGUCUUUUGCCCUCAAGCCCUGAAGAGGGUGUUGCACCCAACUUCCCUUACUGAUAGAACACAAGCCCCAGACCCUCACCUGCCACUGGCUUUUGGCAGGAUCUGUGACACUAAAAUUACAUCCGCUCUUUUCUAAUCCUAGCUAAUAUGGGCUAAGAGAGGACAGUCUUAGGAUUCUGGGAACUUCCUGUCCAGCUGAUUCACAAAAGUCACAGACCAGCUGUCUUCUAAAGUAAAACUACCUCCUGGCCAUGACUGUAAUAUGCUAGAUUUCUGGAGCCCUUUAGAAAAAUGGGCUCCUACCGGGCACGGUGGCUCACGCCUGUAAUCCCAG
rnacentral:lncRNA from 10 species